rnacentral:tRNA from 1 species
GGAGAGAUGGCUGAGCGGCUAAAAGCAGCAGACUGUAAAUCUGCCGGUCCACGACCUACGGAGGUUCGAAUCCUCCUCUCUCCACCA